UACGUAGGGUGCAAGCGUUAAUCGGAAUUACUGGGCGUAAAGCGUGCGCAGGCGGUUUUGUAAGUCUGUCGUGAAAUCCCCGGGCUCAACCUGGGAAUUGCGAUGGAGACUGCAAGGCUAGAGUUUGGCAGAGGGGGGUAGAAUUCCACGUGUAGCAGUGAAAUGCGCAGAUAUCAGGAAGAACACCCGUGGCGAAAGCGGCUCUCUGGAACGGUACUGACGCUGAGACGCGAAAGCGUGGGGAGCGAACAGG
rnacentral:rRNA from 1 species